UGCAAAACAUGGUGAGAGCCCUGCAGACUU
rnacentral:piRNA from 1 species